UACGUAGGGUGCGAGCGUUAAUCGGAAUUACUGGGCGUAAAGUGUGCGCAGGCGGCUUCGCAAGUCGAGUGUGAAAUCCCCGAGCUUAACUUGGGAAUUGCGCUCGAAACUACGGAGCUGGAGUGUGGCAGAGGAAGGUGGAAUUCCUGGUGUAGCGGUGGAAUGCGCAGAUAUCAGGAGGAACACCGAUGGCGAAGGCAGAUCUCUGGGCCGUAACUGACGCUGAGGAGCGAAAGCAUGGGGAGCGAACAGG
rnacentral:rRNA from 1 species